GACGAACGCUGGCGGCGUGCUUAACACAUGCAAGUCGAGCGGUAAGGCUCCUUCGGGAGUACACGAGCGGCGAACGGGUGAGUAACACGUGAGCAAUCUGCCCUUCACUUUGGGAUAACUCCGGGAAACCGGUGCUAAUACCGAAUGCGACCACUUCAGGCAUCUGACGGUGGUGGAAAGUUCCGGCGGUGAAGGAUGAGCUCGCGGCCUAUCAGCUUGUUGGUGAGGUAAUGGCUCACCAAGGCUUCGACGGGUAGCCGGCCUGAGAGGGUGACCGGCCACACUGGGACUGAGACACGGCCCAGACUCCUACGGGAGGCAGCAGUGGGGAAUAUUGGACAAUAGGCGAAAGCCUGAUCCAGCAACGCCGCGUGAGGGAUGACGGCCUCGGUGUAACUCUUCUAGCAGGACGAAG
rnacentral:rRNA from 1 species